GUGGCGGACCUGGAGAGGGAAUGGAAUCUUAGGGGGGGGCCUUACCCCAUACCCUGCCUUGUACAGCUCUUCCAUCUGGCUGUCCCUGAGUUCUAUCCUUUUGGAAUAAACCAAUGACCUAACUUUUCCCCUGAAAAAAAACUCACACAAAUGGGGCUCUGGUGAUGAAAGUAUGAGGAACCAGGAUGAAGUUACCUGUUUGUUUCCCUCUCUCCAGUCCUCCAGUCUCAUUCCCUGGGAUUACUUCCCAAGAGAAAUACCAGCUCUGCCCAUGAGCUCUUGUCUAAGGCUCCUUCUGGGGAAAUCCAAGGCAACUGGUUUAUCAUGUGCUGGUGUUUAUUCCCUCUCUCCUCUGGCCUUGAAGAAGCUCAGCACGAGACUGGCGUCAACAUCUUUCCAACUCCAGAUGACCCGCAAGUUCACCUUUUGGGAGUAACUUUCCCUCACACUUUGUAUUUGACCCGAUUAGCUUUUUUAUUUUGGCAUUGUUCUACUGUAUUUCAUGUCUCUAUAUAAUCUGCCUGAAAUCAUUUUUGGAAGACAGAGUACACAAAAAUUGACAAACUGUAUGAAGUCAGAAACAUACUGAGUUCCCUCAGGGUCUUUCCUUUCCUUGAGAAGCACAGUUUGGUGCAGUGGGAGGAAUGACGUGGAAAGGGGACCGCCAGUUUCUGAAUGUGCUCUCCUCACAGGCGAGGCCUGAGGCAAGUUGCUUAGCUUCCCCAGACAUCAGGCUUGAGAAGGUUUGCUUUCGUCCCCGAAAUUCAUGGAACUUUCUCUUGUCCUGGUUUCCCUGACUGCCCUAAAGUAAGUAUGUAUGAUGAGAGGGGCCCAUUUACCAGACACUUCAUGAGGCUGUGUAUGUAGAGCUACAUAUGAGCUA